rnacentral:rRNA from 1 species
UACGGGGGGAGCAAGCGUUGUUCGGAUUUACUGGGCGUAAAGGGCGCGUAGGCGGCGCAACAAGUCACUUGUGAAAUCUCCGGGCUUAACCCGGAGCGGUCAAGUGAUACUGUCGUGCUAGAGUGCGGAAGGGGCUACUGGAAUUCUCGGUGUAGCGGUGAAAUGCGUAGAUAUCGAGAGGAACACCAGUGGCGAAGGCGAGUCCCCUGGACAACUCCUGACACUGGAGGCACGAAAGCUAGGGGAGCAAACAGG